AACAAACAAACCCUCUUUCCCAAUUCCCAACAAAAACAAAACUUCAACCCCAUUUUUCUCUUUUGGGUUCUUCCAACCCUACCCCAAAACCUUGCAUUCCCAUUCACGCUCACAUUGCAUCCCCAACACAUAACCAGGUACCUUUUUUUUGCAAAUUAAUACUCCAUUUUAUUUUUAACUUUUACAUGUAAUGUUCUUUAUUUUAUUUUAUUGUACCCAUAUUUCUUUUUAUUUAAUUUUGAAACAAAAUAAGUUCCACAUUAUCUCAAUUUAUAUAUCGUUGAUUGUGUCUAUAUUCUUGUAGGGUUUAAAUUCCCAAGCUUGUUUAUGGAACUAGGGUGCAAGUUCAUUUUCAAGAAAAAAAAUGCAUGUGAUCAUGGUC
rnacentral:lncRNA from 1 species